CUUUUUUGUUUUUUGUUUUUUUUUUUUUUGAAGAUUUUAUUUAUUUAUUCAUGAGAGAUACAGAGAGAGGCAGAAACACAGGCAGAGGGAGAAGCAAGCUCCCUGCGGGUAGCCUGAUGCAGGACUUGAUCCCAGGACCCUGGUGUCACACCCUGAGCCGAAGGCAGAUGCUCAACCACUGAGCCUCCCAGGUGCCCCCAGAAUAGACUUUCAUGACAACUCAAGUGCUUGGAAGCCCCCAGCUGGGCGUGCUCGGGGAGGAUCAGCACCCUUUUUUGCCCCCACUCCUCUCACCCCUGGAGAUUCACAUCAACUCUCCAACCCUACAGACCUGGCAACCAGGCCCCCCAGGCUUGCCAUCCAGACCCCAGCUUCACCACCAACCACUCUGAGCACCUGGGGCCUGUACUGGGCCUCAAAAGAACACUUCUCACUCAUUUAUUCCCAUCCUUACAGAUGCAGAAGAAUUGGAAUUGUUAAAAGAAUGUUCUAAAAAACCUUCAUGGAAAACAAACAGAGGAAGUUGUUUUUUGUUUUUUUAAAAAGAUUGGGGUGGGGAGACUUUGAAAAGAAUGACCCAUCCAUGUAUGGAUUUAGGAAGAAGAUAUAGCUGAACUCAGGGCAUGGGUUUCUGAGGAGCCCAGACCCCAUUUCCCCAGGGUCCAUCCCUGCAACCCCUCAGCCUGGGGAGGAAGCCCUGGAUUAUAACUCAGGGAAGGGGGGACUAUGGUAUGGUGACAGUGCAGAGACCUGGUUCUCCCGCGUGACUCUGAGCAGGCUGCUAGGCCUCCCUGGACCCCAGUUUCUCCCUCUGUAAAAAAAAGGAUACGUGUAUCCAUCACACAUGCCUGCUCUGAGAAUUGUAUGAAUGAAUCAAUGUGAACACAUCUAGCACUCAGGAGACAUUUCACAAAUGUUGCCCUUCCACCAGGUCCAGCUAAAAUGCUACCCCAGCUAGACACCAUAACCAAAGUUAACGCCUUCGGGGACACAGGCGUCAUCAUCAUCAUCUCUGAUCUGAGGCUCUGGCACAAGACAGUGUCUACACCAAUUUGAUCCAGGCCUUCCAGGUCAGCCUCCCCUAGGCCUCAGAUUCCAGAAACAAAAUGUCUCCCCAAAGGUUGCAUGUCCCCAAGGAUCCUGCUCCGCGGAUGCCAGGUCCGGAGCCCGUUGGCCAAGGAUCUGACUGUACAGAAACCUUGCAGGUGGCAGCCAUGUGCAGGCUUUACACACAACGUUCCCCGUGAUUCUGACAGCAGCCCCCGACGUCAGCACAUGGCACUAUCACCAUCCUACAGACGGUGUAGGUCAGUACUCAGUCCCACAGCUAUGGGGGGCGGGUAAUCAAACAGCAGCGUGUCUGACUCCAUGGAUCUCAGCCCUGGCUAAAGAGAAGAAUCAUCUGGGGAGACUUUAACACAGACCUACCCGGGGGCCCUUCCCCUGACCUUCUGACUCCUGGUCUGGGUGGAUCAGCGUGUCAGUACUUUAGAGGCACCUGGGGCUCCUCUAGGGUGCAGCCCGGGAGCUCAGGCCACCCUUCCCCCUCCUGGAGGAUUCUCUGCCUCCCCACCCCACCCCACCUCAGUAAGUGCAAACACACUGCCAAUGGGCCCCGUGUCCUCCCACAGCGCCACGCACCUGCACUCAGCUUGAAGGUUUCUAGGCCCACAGGUGCUCAGGGGAAACUGAGGCUGGGGUGAAUGUGUGAGCAGCAGAGGCCCCAGCACUCGUCCUCUGCUCUCUGCCGCCCCCUGUUGAUAGCAAAGAGCAGAACAUGUCACGGCUUUUCUGCUCGCUUCCUGUCCUCUCACCAGAUGUGGAACCUCCUACUUCACACCGUCCACCUCUACUCCCCCCUCCCCCUCCCCCUCUGGGGGAAGUAUCUGGUCUCUGCCCUGUGUGGUUAUCAGGUGUCUGGCUUCCUGGGAAGGCUCCUCUGCCUUCCCCCUGUAGCUCAGUGAGGCAAGUCCCAGGCAGCCCUUCCAGACCAGCUCUGCACCCAGCCUGGGCAAAUGCUGGCAUGGUGGGCAGGCAUUCCUCACACCACAAGGGCAAAAUCCAUGGCCCUGUUCUCCCUGUGGUCAAACGCAAUUCACACA
rnacentral:lncRNA from 1 species